rnacentral:rRNA from 1 species
UACUAGAGUAGCACUCGCAUAUCAAUAAGCGGAGGAAAAGAAACUAACGAGGAUUCCCCUAGUAACGGCGAGUGAAGCGGGAAGAGCUCAAAUUUGAAAUCUUAAAGGGUUUCCCUUUACGAAUUGUAGUUUAAAGAAGUGUUUUCUGUUGAGGUUUUGGUAAAAGUUCUUUGGAAUAGGACAUCAUAGAGGGUGAGAAUCCCGUAUUUGACCUUUACUUUCAACUUUGUGAUACACUUUCAAAGAGUCGGAUUGUUUGGGAAUGCAGUCCAAAAUGGGUGGUAAAUUUCAUCUAAAGCUAAGUAUUGGCGAGAGACCGAUAGCGAACAAGUACCGUGAGGGAAAGAUGAAAAGAACUUUGAAAAGAGAGUUAAACAGUACGUGAAAUUGUCAAAAGGGAAGCGUUUGACACCAGUGUUGUUUUUCUGAAAAUCAAUUAAAGAACUGUUUAUGCUAAGUUGUUUAGACUUUAUCAGCUAUCUGUUUAGUUUUAGGCUUUUCUUUAAUGCACUUUUCAGUUAACAAGUCAACAUCAAUUUCUUUUGCUGUAAAAAAGCUUGAGGAAGGUGGCUUGAGAUUCGUCUUAAGUGUUUAUAGCCUCUUGCCUAUGCAGUCGGAGAGAUUGAGGUCUGCAGCGUAGAUCCUUCGGGGCUAAAUGCAUUUGUGCUAAGUUAUAGCAUUUUAUAGACAACUUGUUGACUAUGAUUUGUCUUGUAGCUUACUCGCUUAUGUUAUUUUACCUACGCUUAGGAUGUUGAGCGCAUGUCUCUCUCU